rnacentral:siRNA from 1 species
AGCGGGUGCGAUAGUAACUA